UGAAAAAGAAAUGUGCCUGCAUAGUCAAUGAAAUAUGGUAACUAACCAUAGUUCCCUUGCUUUUUCAGGGUCCCUCACUUCACACAUGCACUUCUGCCAAGGGAGUCCCUGGUUGGGCUGGUUCUGGAAUCAGGGUGUAGGACUUGCGUCCAGGAGCUCCCCGAUGACCCCUAUAAGUGAGGACUCUGUGUAACCCAAUACCUGAAACUUGUUAAAAGAGAAGGAGGCUAAUUUUGUGUGUCUGAGGUGAGGAUCAGGACACUUCAUUUUUAGUUAUUACAUAUGUGACUUUGAUGCAGGCAGUCCCACAAAUGCCCAAGGAAAUUUUGAUAGUCUUCAGAAGUGGCUCAAAAAAACAGCAUUUUUUUCUUUGUAUGCUGGUCACUCAUGCUGGUUGGCCUCUGUCUUUUCUUCCCCUAAUGAGGUCCAUUUGGAGGUCUCAGUUGGAGCCUCAGGUUCCUAGACAGCUCCCCCAACUCAGCCAAGUGAGGUUGGGUAGCUCUGGGCCAGGCUUCUCUUUCAUGGCACUUUGAUGGAGUAUGCUUAAAGUGAUGAAUGUCACUGUCCUCUCCUCUUAGGCAACAAAGAGCAUCAUGAGGGUCUGAAUUGUAGCUAUCUCACUAAAUCCACCAGACCAACCAAAGUUCUAGGCACAUACUGAUAACAUGAGCUAUCAACAAAUAUUUUUUUUGAAGCCAGAACACAUGUUCAGAUUUUAAACAAAAGAGGGAGGCAGAGUACACUAGGUCCCCUAUCUAUUUUGAUAGAACAGGAAGUCAACACCAUAGUACAACAAAAACAGAGAACAAGGCUGGAAGUAUUUUCUGCAAAAUGUUAACAACAGUUGUCUUAGUGUGUUUUGUGUUCCUGUAAUAGAAUACCUGAACGUGGUAAUACAUAAAGAGCAGAGAUUUAUUUUUUAAAGUUCUAGAGUCUGGGAAGUUCAAAGUCAAGGAGGCAACAUCUGGCAAUGGCUUUCUUGCUGGCAGAGGAUGUGCAUGAAUGAGAACACAAAGAGUGUGUGCACAAGAGAGAGGAUCUGGGGCUAAACUCACCCUUUUAUCAGGAACCCACCUCUUCUAUAACUAACCCACAGUAACAGUAUCCAUUCCUAAAAGCAGAGCCCUCAUGACCCAAGGUUCCACCUCACAACAUCGUUGCAUUGGGGAUUACGUUUCCCACACAUGAAUUUUGGGAGACACAGUCAAAUGAUAAUGAUAGCUACCUCUGGAGCUGGGAUUAUGGAUAUGUAGGUUUGUAUGUGUUGUUUGUAUUUUCUAUAAGAAACAAUUAUUGCAACUAAAAAGAAGAAAAAAGUUUUAAAGACAAAAAGAGAAGGAAAUUAAAAAGGACAGGAAAUUGAACUGGAUUGUGAUGGUGGUGGAUGGGAUAGAAGUAUCCUGGGUUAAGACAGGGUAGUUGGGAUUCACAGUGAAAAAUGGGGAUGAUGGGAAAUGGACAGAGUUCAGCAUCAGGGAAGGUGUGGC
rnacentral:lncRNA from 1 species